AACGAACGCUGGCGGCAUGCCUAACACAUGCAAGUCGAACGAGACCUUCGGGUCUAGUGGCGCACGGGGGCGUAACGCGGGGGAACCUGCCCUUAGGUUCGGAAUAACUCCCCGAAAGGGGUGCUAAUACCGGAUAAUUUCUUCUGACAAAAGAUUUAUCGCCUUUGGAUGGGCCCGCGUUGGAUUAGCUAGUUGGGAGGGUAAAAGCCUACCAAGGCGUCGAUCCAUAGCUGGUCUGAGAGGAUGAUCAGCCACACUGGGACUGAGACACGGCCCAGACUCCUACGGGAGGCAGCAGUGGGGAAUAUUGGACAAUGGGCGAAAGCCUGAUCCAGCAAUGCCGCGUGAGUGAUGAAGGCCUUAGGGUUGUAAAGCUCUUUUACCCGGGAUGAUAAUGACAGUACCGGGAGAAUAAGCUCCGGCUAACUCCGUG
rnacentral:rRNA from 1 species